UGCUGCUACCAGAGUUGUCGUGAUCGAAAUCAAAAUCACGAUCAAAAUUUUGAUCGGAAAUCAAAUCAUUCCAAAAUGAUUUGAUUGCACAAUCAAAUUUAAAAAAAUUAUUUCCGAUCAAAUCUUUUCACCGAUCAUUUGGCUAGCGAACAGAGCCAUCUGCUGAUGGAAAUAAACAAUUUGUGUUAGGUGUUUUGACGACAGAGAGUCUUGUCAAACGUUUUCAGUACUGUCAACUGUCAAAAUGGAUGGUGAAAAUUUUGAAGACAUUGAGAACAUCGAUCCCAACAGAAGUGUCAUUACUGAAGGAAGAAAUAGCAGUGACAAUGCUACCCCUGAAAAAACUACUGAUUGCUGAAGAAUAUUGCCAGAUGGCGUUUUUCGUUGUUAAUUUGAUCGCUUAAAUAAUCGCAAAAUCAUGGUCUAACCAUGGAGGUCCCGGAACUGUUGUCUACUAGGCCUGAUUUGGGCUGUUCGUCUGCUAUUUCCGCGGACAAAUUUUGGGGCACUCGCUAGGGGCGCUGACUACCCGGAUCAGUCAUAACAUUUCCUCCAAAACGUUGUCAACAAUGGGGAAAGUAGUCGCUUAUGACUGUUUUCCGCGCUGUUUUCUUCUGGAUAAAAAAUAAAAAAAUUUACUACAAAAAAAGGAAACCUGAAUCAAUUCCUCUUUGUAUUACACGCCUUAAUAUACAUUAAUACACAUUAAUUGACCAUCUUA